UGAAGAUGCUGGGAGAAAGAGAAAGGAAGCAAAGGAGAGAGGGAAGGAGAGAGAGAGAGAGAGAGAGAGAGAGAGAAGAGCUGAGAGCUCUCCCUGAAGACAGGGAGGCAGUGAUUCUCUGGACUCCAACUUUGGCUGAGAUCAAAAGGGGAAGCAAGCUGCCUGGGGUUCUGUGAGUGGUGGCCAGCAAAGCACACGCGAGGAAGUGAGGACUUUUUCUACCUGAAUAAAGCAGCUGAAAUUUUUACAAUCAUGGGAGGUGGCUUGGUGGGUAAAAACUGCCCUGGAUGAGAAGUCAGGAUGGCUGGUGCUGAUCUGGGAACUUGCUGAAAGUGGCCUCAGACCAGGAGGGGGCAUGUCAGAGUGAAAAGAGCAAAACAGAAGGGCGUUUGCAUGGGCGCGUCCUCAGCGGGGCACCGCCAGCCUCCAGUCCGGCCUGGUCUGACACUUGCUGGCAGGACUAGGCUCAGACAUCUGUCUAGGACCAGAUCUGCCCCUGAUGGUACCCAUCCUGGUGUUCUCAGUCUGUAGCAAUUGCCCAGUUCUGCAGGCCCAUGAGUCACUGUGUGAUGGUCAAGGCGAUCCCGGAGCAGCCCAUGACAGAAGCCUGUCCCCUACACUACCGGAUCUGUCCUCUGCUGGAGCCAAGCAAGUAUACCCUCUGCGCUCUGGGGAAGAGGCAGGAGCAUGGUGGUGAAUGCGCUCCGUGGGUUCCAUAUGGCCGUGCUAAGGAAAAUCUGCUUUCAUUUUGUACUUUAUGAUUUAGUUCAGUUCACCUGGAAAGACUCAAUGUGAAUAAAAACAGAUGCGUUUCAAGGCGCAUGCAUU